rnacentral:sRNA from 1 species
AUCUUCAGUGUUGUGAGCCCUUAAAAGGGACAGAAAUUGUGCAUUCCGGGAGCUGGGAUUUUAAGGCAGUAGCUUGCCAAUGCUCCCAGCUGAAUAAAGCCCUUCCUUCUACAACUCGGUGUCUGAGAGGUUUUCUCUGCGGCUCGUCCUGCUACAUUUCUUCAUUCCCUGACUGGGAAAUGAGGUAACUGACAGACAGCCAAGGCAGCCCCUUAGGCAGCUUAGGCCUCCCCUGUGGAGCAUCCCUGCCGGGGACUCUGGCCAGCCUGAGUGACGCGAUCCAAAGAGCACUCCGUGUAGGAAAUUGCCCUGGUGGAAUGCCUCACCAGAGCAGUGCGUAGCAGGCCCCUGCAGAGGAUUAACACAGUGGCUGAACACCGGGAAGGAACUGGCACUUGGAGUCUGGACAUCUGAAACUUGACAACAUCACCGCCCUGAAGCCAGAGACUAACACUGCGGGACUCAGCAGGACUCUUUAAGAAACAACUGAGGCAUCAGACCAACUUUCCCCACAAGUCCUCGGAUCUUUCCUGCCAUGCUGAUGCCAUAUAUUCCAACGUGAUCAACCUGGCCCCCCAGAAGGAGGACGACUUUGCUGUCUACGCCAAUAUGCCCCCUUUUCAUCACCCCAGGAGGACAUCGCCAGACCAAGUGGAAUAUGCCUCCACUGUAUUCCACUGAUGGGAAGCUAAUGAGAUGCACAGAGUGGAGGUCAGACCUGGCCCCAGCUGAAUCUUGGCAUACCCUUUGCCUUAGAUUUAUGUGUGUGUUUAAAAAAAAAAAUACAUAGGCCAGGCACGGUGGCUCACACCUGUAUCCCAGCACUUUGGGAGGCUGAGGCAGGCAGAUCACCAGGUCAAGAUAUCAAGACCAUCCUGGCCAACAUGGUGAAACCCCGUCUCUACUAAAGAUACAGAAAAUAGCCAGUCGUGGUGGUGCAUGCCUGUAAUCCCAGCUACUUGGAAGGCUGAGGCAGGAGAAUCACUUGAACCCAGGGGGCGGAAGUUGCAGUGAGCCAAGAUCACACCGCUGCACUCCAGCCUGGUGACAGAGUAAGACUCCAUCUCUAAAAAAAAUAAAUAAAUAAAAAUAAAAUGUAAAACAUAUUCUGAUGGA